rnacentral:lncRNA from 1 species
UUUGAUAGGUAUUAUUAGGUGAGAUAAAUUGUUUUUCUCACCUUUUCCUCCUGUUUGAUAGACUUCACCAAUAAUCAUCCAGGCCCGCAGAAAGAGUCUAGCCCGCAUCAAAGUCACUGUUUCACUGAGAAAACUCAUCCGCCGCUCACCCCCAGUUAAAUUAUAUGGUCUUGAACAGUGAUUUAGAUUAAGUUUUCCGUUUACGAUUUUAUCCCUCCGUCUACUUCAAAAAUCGCUAGCUUAAUCAAAUCCGGUCUUACUACGCCAUUUCUUUGACACAACCAACCCUCGAUUCUUCAGACUUCAAUGGCUGCUCGUCGGUAGACACGCGUUGAAUUCGUCGAAGGUGAGAUUUGAGAAAUUUCAAAGGUGAGAUUUCUAGCGGUAGGAAUGAUUUGGUGAGAUUUCGUUGAAUUGAUUCGUCGAAGGUGAGAUUUGAUUUAUUUCUGGUCGUAGGAAUGAUUUGGGCCUGCAAAUUUGUGAAAUUUCGAAAUCAGAUCUGCGCAAUUUUUCGAUUGAUUCCUCUGCGACUUGGCGAAAUCAAAUUUCGAAGAGUUUGAUUAGGGUUUUCUGUUUUAAAGACAUUUUUUCUUUUNUCUGAUUUGGAUCUGCAAAUUUGUUUUGCGGCUGUAAAAAAUUGGUCUCAAAGCUUUCUCUUUCGCCAAAAUUAUUGCUUUUGAUGUGAAGACCAAAUUAAUGGAAUAGAAGCUGAGAUUUGAAAUAUGAAAUUAUUUGCUCAAUAGCUGAGAUGUUUGGCUUCGAAAUAUUUGGCUAUGAAUUGAUAUCCCAUUGUGAUUUGCAGAAAAUCUGAAAUGUCUUGUGCCAUCUUCACAUAAUACCAAUGACUUGCUGACACUUCUAAUAUUUCGAAGCCAAG